GUAUAGUUAGGCAGGUAGAGGUAUAGUUAGGCAGGUAGAGGUAUAGUUAGGCAGGUAGAGGUAUAGUUAGGCAGGUGAAGGUAUAGUUAGGCAGGUAGAGGUAUAGUUAGGCAGGUAGAGGUAUAGUUAGGCAGGUGAAGGUAUAGUUAGGCAGGUAGAGGUAUAGUUAGGCAGGUAGAGGUAUAGUCAGGCAGGUAGAGGUAUAGUUAGGCAGGUAGAGGUAUAGUUAGGCAGGUAGAGGUAUAGUUAGGCAGGUGAAGGUGUAGUUAGGCAGGUAGAGGUAUAGUUAGGCAGGUAGAGGUAUAGUUAGGCAGGUGAAGGUAUAGUUAGGUAGGUAGAGGUAUAGUCAGGCAGGUAGAGGUAUAGUUAGGCAGGUGAAGGUAUAGUUAGGCAGGUAGAGGUAUAGUUAGGCAGGUAGAGGUAUAGUUAGGCGAGUGAAGGUAUAGUUAGGCAGGUAGAGGUAUAGUUACGCAGGUAGAGGUAUAGUUAGGCAGGUGAAGGUAUAGUUAGGCGAGUGAAGGUAUAGUUAGGCAGGUAGAGGUAUAGUUACGCAGGUGAAGGUGUAGUUAGGCAGGUGAAGGUAUGACAUUAGUUAGGCAGGUAGAGGUAUAGUUAGGCAGGUGAUGAUAUAGUUAGGUGGUUGAAGGUAUAGUAAAUUAUGUAAAGAUAUGGUUAAGCAGGUAGAUGUGUUUAUACAUACCAAUAAGUUGGAAUGGAGAUAAAGAUGAAUGUUUUGCUGGUAGGUUUGUGAAGAUGUGUUAUUUUCAGAGAGAAAUGUAUUAAAUCAAGUAUUUAACCACACUGUGUGCUGUGGGAGAGUUACAGUACAACGCCAAGGUCCCAUACAAACAGGAGGCGGAUGCAACGUCCUUCCAGACAGACAGGAACUAUAUCCCAAAUUGCAUCCUAUUCCCUUCACAGUGCACUACAUUUGACCAUGGCGUAUCGGGCUCUGGUCAAUAGUAGUGCACUAAAGAAGGAAUAGAGUGCCAUUUGUGACUCGUCCAGGCUGUGUCCCACAGUCCAUGUGGUGCGUGAUGCAUCUGGAGGUACAGGACAGCUGAGUGAGGUUGAUACCUUUUCACACGUCUGAUGAGUGACACAGAAUUACAUUUUUGUGCUGAGGGUGGAAGUGAAAUCAUUGAUUUGGACGACUGCCACCGUGCAUCAUGGGAGCUGCUGUUGGGAUGACGAUUACACCGCCACACCUUUCGAUGACAUAAUACAUACUAUAAAUCAGGGGCCAUAUGCACAUUAUAUCUGGAAUGUAAACAGCCAACAUCUACAUCUUUAAAAAGUAUCAUACGGAAAGUGGCACAGGUGUGACUGAUUUGCAUGUUCAACCUAACAAGCAUUUCUAUUGGUUAAUUUCCUGGUCAUGUGACUUGAGCUGGUCAUGUGACCUAGUUUUGAGUUAACAUCUACCUACUGUAGGCUGCCCACUGGAAGUGAAUGCAGUCUGGAGGCAUAGUGCAGCAUAGUUGUUGUUUUUUGCCAGAGCAGGUGAUGACUUAUUUUGGUAAAAGCACACAGCUAUUGGAGUUGUUUGAGCGGAAGUGAGAUCUUUGAGUAGCUGGAUGCCUGUCUCUUGGGUUGCAUCACUUCCUGUCUCCCCUUUGUAUGGUUUGUAUGGUUUGUAUGGGGUGGCAGGGUAGCCUAGUGGUUAGAGCAGUUGGACUAGUAACCGGAAGGUUGGAAGUUCAAACCCCCGAGCUGACAAGGUACAAAUCUGUCGUUCUGCCCCUGAACAGGCAGUUAACCCACUGUUCCUAGGCCGUCAUUGAAAAUAAGAAUUUAUUCUUAACUGACUCGCCUAGUUAAAUAAAGGUUUGAAAAAUAAAAUGUCUGUGGGAUUGUAACUAGCAAUGUUUUAUAGGUAAACAAUC
ensembl:lncRNA